rnacentral:rRNA from 1 species
UACGGAGGAUCCAAGCGUUAUCCGGAAUUACUGGGCGUAAAGAGUUGCGUAGGUGGCAUUGUAAGUCUGUAGUGAAAGCGUGGGGCUCAACCCCAUAAACAUUAUAGAAACUGCGAAGCUAGAGAAUGAGAGAGGUCGCUGGAAUUCCCUGUGUAGGAGUGAAAUCCGUAGAUAUAGGGAGGAACACCGAUGGCGUAGGCAGGCGACUGGCUCAUUUCUGACACUAAGGCACGAAAGCGUGGGGAGCAAACGGG